rnacentral:lncRNA from 1 species
AGCAGCUGAUAGUUGCAGCAUUUGUAACGUGGUGUCUGGACCCCUUACUCUUCUUUAAGGACAUUUCAGUUUAACUUCAAGUAAAUGAUGAUGUGAUGUAACAGCCUGCUUAGUUAAACCUCGUAAAAUAGGGUUCGUUGCUUCAUUUGUUUCAGCCACAGUUUUUUUAUAUGACAUCAAUGCUAAUUUGAUCACUUUCAUUUGUUUCAGCCACACUUUUUUUUAUAUGACAUCAAUGCUAAUUUGAUCACUUUUUCUUAAGCAGAGGAAGGAAAAUCACUUCUCAAGGACAGCGGGAUCUCGAUCAAGUCGCUGGGCGGGU